AAUCAACGCUGGCGGCGUGCCUAACACAUGCAAGUCGAACGCGGUUACUCCGCAAGGGUGACUGAGUGGCGAACGGGUGAGUAACACGUGGGUGAUCUACCUUCGAGUGGGGAUAACGUUCCGAAAGGAACGCUAAUACCGCAUGACGUUCUGGGUUUGAAGACCUUGGAAACCGAAAGACUGGGGACCGCAAGGCCUGGCGCUUGGGACGAGGACGCCCGCGUCCGAUUAGCUAGGUUGGUGGGAAUGGCCCACCAAGGCGACGAUCGGUAGCCGGCCUGAGAGGGCGGACGGCCA
rnacentral:rRNA from 1 species